ensembl:lncRNA
GUUACAGAAGUGUUGGUCUUCAGCUCAGCUGCAGCUAUGCCUCUCUCUGGCUUUGAACACUGCUGAUUUUGGACCCCAGCCUGUGGAUUGACUUUCUGACUCAACCUCAGACUUCCUUCAUCACCACAUUUUUGCUAAUGGACUGGGUGCUUGGCUGCCAUCCCCAAACCUGUCCUGCUUGCUGUGCUUGGUUGCUGCAAGGCUGUACUCUGACAGUGAGGCACCUGCCAUGUCAGCUGCAUUGUGCUUGGCUCCUGGCUCCCCAUCUUUCAGGUAGAAGAAAGAAAUGGCUGAGGAACCUGGAGCAGAAGCAGAAGACACAGAAGGAACAAGCACUCCUAUGGUGGUGUGUCCUCCUCCUGGCACGUAGCCCUGAAUACAGGGAGUCUAUCGCAAAUCUAUAUGAGGUGAUGGGGGCAGAGUGGGUUCUCUAAUUAACAGCAGCAAUAAUUACGGCUGUGCCGGUGUGGGGCGGCCGCUGUCCGUGGUGCUGGAGGCGCCGGCUCUCAGCUGCCGUCGGCUGAGAGCACGAGGGCAGAUGCCAAAAGGAGGGAAAGGAAAUGCUUCAGCUUCAAGAAAAGCCUCGUUGAACUAGCUCAUGCCCUUCUAGCUCUGGGAUAAGGCAACCACAAGACAGAAAGCGACAGACUUUCUUGGUUCCACAGUUAUCAAAAUUACUUGUUCUCAAAAUGAUGAUUCAUCAAAAACUUCUUACAUUUUUGGACACGCCAGAUUGGAUGAUCGCUGUGGAUUCAUCAUCUCCCCAGUUUGCUCGGAGGUACAGAUUAAAAUAUAUGUGUGUGUGUGUAUAUAUAUAUAUCUCUUCUCUAUUCCUCUAAGCAGUAGUUCUGCUUGUAAUAAUGAGAACUGGGUGAUGACUUCACCAGUGAAAACCAGACAAAGCUCCAGACAAGGUGAAAACUCCAGGCGUCAAUGCAUCUUCAAAUCUAGGUAAAUGAAGGAGGAGGAAGAAUGUUCCUGCCCAGACACAGGAAGCAAGGACAUGUGAACUGUGAUGAAAGGAGGGGGAGUUUCUGCUUACUCAACGUAGCUGGGACGUUUUGGAGCUGGGUAUAUUGUGGUUUGAUGCCAGGAUAGCUCACUUGGCAAUGGGUAAUGUAGCUCCAGGGAAGCACUGAGAGUUGAUGGAAGCAAUUCAAGCAUCUUUCUGAUCAACACAAAAUGAAAGCUAAACUAAUAUCCCAAAUAGUUAUGGUAUUUGCUUAGCAGAUUCUUGCACUGAUUUCCUCAACAAACGCUGAAUUAGACAAGGCAAGAAUGAUCUCAUAAUUCUGUAAUGAAACAGAAAAGAGGGCAUGAUUACCAUCAUAAGAAACCAGGAAGGCAGACAGCUGAUACUGAAGUGUGGGGGAGUGCUGAGUCACUGCAUUAAGCGCUGCCAUAGUAACAAUUUACCAGCUGGUUGGGGAUGAAAAGAGAUUGAAAAAACCCGAAAUAAAAUUUGGGCAAGUUGCAGCUUGAAAAUAUAGUACAAGCUUUUUAAAAGAAUUAAUAAAAUGGAACACUUUCAAAGAGUGAUUUUAGUAUUUAGUGUUACUUUGAGCAACAAGGUUACAGCAGAAUAUUGAAUGAACACAGAAGAGAACUGGG